AAGUGAGGUCACGCAGGAUGGCGGCUCGGGGCCCGCGGCGCUGAGGGGUCGCUCGCGCGGGUAAUCCGCGUCCAUCCUGCCCGGGAGCUGCGGCGGCGGUGCCGCCUGUGCCGCAAGUAUCGAGCGGCAAGACCAGAGCCGCGAUGGCAUCCGGAGCCGCAGGACUGUGAAGCAUCAGAGCGCGAGCCGACGGGCCGGGCAGAGCAACAGAACCGGGUCGCGGACGAGCCGAGCUGCCGUCAUGGAGCUGAGGGUUGGGAACCGGUAUCGGCUCGGCCGGAAGAUCGGGAGCGGCUCCUUCGGGGACAUCUACCUUGGAACUGAUAUUGCUGCCGGAGAGGAGGUUGCAAUUAAGUUGGAAUGUGUGAAAACCAAACACCCUCAGCUCCACAUCGAGAGUAAAAUCUACAAAAUGAUGCAGGGUGGAGUGGGUAUUCCCACAAUUAAGUGGUGUGGAGCUGAAGGGGACUACAAUGUUAUGGUGAUGGAGCUGUUGGGACCAAGUCUUGAAGAUCUCUUCAAUUUUUGUUCAAGGAAAUUUAGCCUCAAGACAGUCCUGCUACUUGCUGACCAAAUGAUUAGUCGAAUUGAGUACAUUCACUCUAAGAACUUCAUCCACCGAGAUGUGAAGCCAGAUAACUUCCUAAUGGGCCUGGGGAAGAAAGGCAAUCUUGUCUACAUAAUAGACUUUGGACUAGCAAAGAAGUAUCGAGAUGCUCGAACUCACCAACAUAUUCCGUAUCGUGAAAAUAAAAACUUAACAGGAACUGCCCGUUAUGCAUCCAUCAACACUCAUCUUGGAAUUGAGCAAUCUCGCAGAGAUGACUUGGAGUCCUUGGGCUAUGUACUGAUGUAUUUUAACCUGGGCUCCCUCCCCUGGCAGGGAUUGAAAGCAGCAACAAAGAGGCAGAAAUAUGAACGUAUCAGUGAAAAGAAAAUGUCUACACCCAUUGAGGUUUUGUGUAAAGGAUAUCCUUCGGAAUUUGCCACAUACUUGAAUUUCUGCCGUUCUUUGCGUUUUGAUGACAAACCGGACUAUUCCUAUCUAAGGCAAUUAUUCAGAAACCUCUUCCAUCGACAAGGGUUCUCCUAUGACUAUGUAUUUGACUGGAACAUGCUGAAAUUUGGUGCAAGCAGAGCGGCUGAAGAUGCUGAACGUGAAAGGCGAGAACGAGAGGAAAGGUUAAGACAUACACGAAGUCCAGCUGUGCGUGGAUUACCCUCCACUGCGUCCAGCAGGCUGAGAGGAACGCAAGAUGUAGCUCCUCCUACUCCCCUUACCCCAACUUCACAUGCUGCCAACACCUCUCCUCGGCCGGUGUCUGGUAUGGAACGAGAAAGGAAAGUGAGUAUGAGAUUGCAUCGUGGAGCCCCAGUCAAUAUCUCCUCGUCUGACUUAACAGGCCGACAAGAUACCUCUCGCAUGUCAACUUCACAGGGGUUUCUGUACCCACAAAGAAUACUGUCAGUUGCAAACAUUUGAAGAUACUGUCUUAGUACCAAAACUUGCACUGAAGGAUUUUGGUAGUUUGGUAGUUGUGAUCAGAAUGCAGCAGUUGGGGGAUGCAGGAAGAAAGAGAAAGUAUUAAUUGCUUUGCUCACAGAAAGCAUGUAUUUUGUCUCUUUAAAGAGAUUUACUGUGAAAGGCUUUAAACUGCUGAAAGAGUAGUAGAUGAAGAGUGAGGAGAGCAAGAGGUGUCCUUUCUUAAUGCUCUGAAGCGUUCAUCUGGAGUAGUGAGGAACAUUGCCAGCUGGAAUGUUGCUGAGAUGAUGAAGCAAGUAUGGAGAUCUGUCAAGGAACAAACAGUGUAUAACCAGAGGUAAGUAGCUUUUUACUCUGUCUCUAACUUGCCAUACUUUCUCAGACAAAUACAGGACUCCUGAUCUCACAGACCGUGUCACUAGCAAAGUGCUUUUAAGAGCCCUGACUUUUUAGUGGAUGCACCUUUUUCCUACUGAGAUGAAGAUGAGCUCUAUUCCAGAAGCAUUAGAAAGCUGCUAAAAUAAUACAUUCCAAAGCCGUGGCUUCUCAUAUGCAGUACUCUGCUAUCGUCAAGGUUGUUUACUCUUCUAGUAUUGGUGGAUCAUGUUCCUCCAACAAGUCCAGCAGCAGGGAAUAAUAGGUGUGCAACUCAGGUUGUGCCCAUUUUCCUCUACAGCAAAUGGCCUUACUUCUUUCUUUCAGACUGAAGGAGUACCAGAGGCAAAGCUAAACUCUAGUUUUCUGUCACAAGGAUGGGCCGCAUGCUAGUAAGUUCUGCCAUUUCAGUCUACCCAGUAACAUUGAUUCCUGAAGCAGCAUAUCUACAUCUUGAUCUGGCCGGGGGGUCUUACCAAUUUACUUAAACUAGCAUAAAAAAGGUACUCAUAUAUUUAUUCAAACAUGGGGUUUUAUGUAAACUACACCUAUGAUCUUUUCAGUGUAAAUAUAGAGUUGAAGCUGAUCUUACAAAGAUUUCUCAGAAAUUUCUCACCAGAUACUUAGAAUUAAUCAGAAGUAGGUGUCAGCCUUGUAUGUAGCAAAAGGUAGGUCUUGUUCCAUUGAAGAGACUAAUUUUGAUUCACUUGAGUGUAGCCUUGAGAUUAUACCUUGAGGAGCCAGUCUUAGCUAGGGUAUUAUAAGAUCCAAAAAAACCCUCACCAUAAAUGUAUUCUUACACUGUUUUCUUAGGAACUUUCAAGUUCUAAAGAGCAGCACUUGACAAUAGACAGCUUGCUGGCAGGUCACUACACAAAAUAUUUAGGGCUUUAGAAGUCAUAGUAGUUCAUAAAACUUCACCUGCAAACAAAACCUGGAGCGCUCCUCAGAGAAUAAUAAUUUUUACACGGAGCGGCACAAAAUUAAUAGCUCUUAAAUUAGUUGAUGCUUUAAAAUAGUCUUCGGGAUCAUUUACAGCAAAAGGACAUACCCAUUUUGGAAUUGGCCAAACUAUGAGUCAUGGCAAAAGCAGCCCCCUUGCCCACAUAAAAUUCUGGCUGCCUGUCAGCUAAGUGUCACUUCUUCUCUAUAAACACUUUGCCUCUGUAUAGCUGUUUGAGCGUGUGCAAAUGGAGCCAAAUUUCCAAAUCUGGGUGUUAAAGUUAUUUUUUCUGAGCUUAUUUUCUCAAACCCACAGGUUUUGACAAUCAGAUAUUUAUUCACUACCUUUGCAAUAGUUUACUAGAAAAGCAUAAAAAAAAAAUCUAAGUAUAAAUGUACACAUUACAUUAAAGUGCGUUAACAAGAAACAAAAUUUCAUCUCACUUGGACAAAAUUGAGGUGUAUUCCCAUAAUCCUAAAGAAAGUGUGGCACACACACACACACAAGUGAGUACUUAGCCCUAUAACAUGGAAGAGUUUGCGUUCUGCUGAAAUUCCUCUGUUUGUGAUUGUCUACCAAACUAAAUCUUUUCUUUGGGAUGUACCAAAGGUGCAUAUGUGAAUUCUGGUUUUUUCAUUUUGAAGUUUGAUUGCGUGGUUAGGGGAGUAUUCUAACUUCUUUUUAGAGAAUGAUUUUUACAUUGCUUAACACACAUUUUUGUGUAUGGGAUUUAAUAUUAACCAGCACAAGAACUGUUCAGUCCUUCACACCAUACCUUCAUACCAUCUCAAGUCUUAACUUUAGGGAACUGGCUUAGCUUUAAACAGAUAGCUGCAUCACUUGAAGACUUUUAGUUCUACUGAGGUCUUCUAGGCUCCAAACAGCUGCAAGAUAUUUUAUUUAGAAUUUUUAAAAAGGCAAACUUAGGAGGAGGAAGGAAAUAAUUUUAACUCUGCUCAUUGCCUAUAAUAAAUGGGCGAACUGUCUCUAUUUACUCUGCUGCAUGUUUGAUAUAUAUAGAUUGAUACAUACAUAUGCAAAUAUAUAUGCGCAUACACAUGUACACCUCUUUAUAUAGUCUCUGUGCAUUCCUGACAUUUAUACACAUUUCCUCUCCUUGCAUCAGGAAGAUAAGGGCUUAAGGUCAAUUACACAAAAAACAUACAGUAUUUUAAGCAUAAAUCCUAUAGUAUACAAUUUAUAGAAAGUAUGAAGAUCUAAAAUGCUUCAAAAAUUUUGCUCACCUGUUCAGUGAAAGACUGCCCUUUAGUUUCAGAGGCAUAAUCUAUGAAAACUGUCUUUCAGCAAUUUUAUAGUCUUAUACUUGGAUUUUUUGCACUUGUUUCCAUUGAUUGUUUGCUUUACAGACUUCUUAGAGAUAUAUUUACCAACUACGUGUCUAACGAAAUUACAUUUCUUUCAAAGGAAGGAGCAAAUUAUAAUCUUUGGAUGCUUGGCAAUUCAGUUGCAUAAUUACCUGCAUUCCUUUCCUUUUCCCUCUCCUUUUUUUUCAAAUCACAAAAUUUUAACCAGGUGGAGGGUGAACAAAGGUUUGUCUGGGUAGAUGUCGCAUGAAACUGUUCUGCCUGUGUCCUUGGGCAUUAGUGUCUCUUUAGCAUUGCUUUAUGACUCUGACCAUGCACAUCCUCGAAAUAUAUGGAAGAGCAUAUCUCACAGACUGCCUUUAGGGGGAUCUCAGUGGUGUUGGGAUUAAAGAAAUACUAUACCAAAAUACCUGGAGGGAUUUAAAAGCAAUUCCUUGCUUUGAAAUAUACAAAAUAUAUUUUAUAUAUAUUUAUUUUUAUUUACACAUAUAUUUAAAUAUUAAAUACACAAUAAGCAGAGUUAAAAUAAGGAGCCUGGCUAGACAGUGCUAGGAACCAAAGGAUUCGCUGCUUGCUUUUUUUUUUUAAGUCUUGGUGUAGGAAGGAGGAAAGUCUGUAAAACAGGAGCUCAGUGUGAAGGCCUUUGUGGCCCAUGUCAAUAGGAGCAGUUUUACAUGCUGCAGCACACCCUCAUACUGGCCAACAGGUGUCCAGGUUGGGAUCUGGCAUGGAUGGAGGUUUCUUUCCCAUCAAUAUAAGCAAUUUCUUUCCAAGGAAAUUAAGGCAGCCGAACAGAUAGAGGACUGGAGGGCUUGCACACACCUGGGUGUUACCUUUGGAUGGGACAGAAUGGGAGCAGGGAGCUUAACUGACUCCAGAACUCUGAAAUACUCUUAAGCCUGCCAGUUUUGGUGUUGCUAAGAGAGCUGCAUUAGGAGCUCCUCAUCUUUGUGGUGAUGCUUCUUGUAAUUAAUGAAAAUGGUAAAAGCUUUUUAAACUUCUUAGCAAAUUAAAUUCUAGCCCUUUUAUUUCUCAGUCGAUAAAGGAGUCCUGUGAUUUGACCACUCAUGUAGUAAAGCAUCUCCCUGCUGUUAUAAACACCUCAAUCCAGUGGUAGGUCUAUGCUGAAAACAGCUCAAGAACACUGGCAGUUCUAGUCAGAGUAAUUCAUCCUUGAGUCAAAGGCCCUUCCUGUGAACACUAGGUUUUACUUACGAGGUUAUUUAUGGUGUCUUGUUGAAAUGGCUUUCCACUGUCUUCAUAACUUCCUCUUCUGCCUCAAUCAUAUAAAAUUGUAACAUAACACUUCUCGUUUCAGCUUAAUCAUAAAAGUAUUAUG